AGAGUUUGAUCAUGGCUCAGAACGAACGUUGGCGGCGUGCUUAACACAUGCAAGUCGAACGAGAAAGUUCCUUCGGGAAUGAGUAAAGUGGCGCACGGGUGAGUAACGCGUAAGUAAUCUACCUUUGCAUCUGGAAUAACUACGGGAAGCUGUAGCUAAUACCGGAUACGUUCAUAUAGUUACGACUAUAUGAAGAAAGAUGGCCUCUUCUUGAAAGCUAUCGUGCAGAGAGGAGCUUGCGUACCAUUAGCUAGUUGGUAGGGUAAUGGCCUACCAAGGCAACGAUGGUUAGCGGGUCUGAGAGGAUGAUCCGCCACACUGGAACUGGAACACGGACCAGACUCCUACGGGAGGCAGCAGUGAGGAAUAUUGCGCAAUGGGGGAAACCCUGACGCAGCGACGCCGCGUGGAUGAUGAAGGCCUUAGGGUCGUAAAAUCCUGUCAGGUGGGAAGAAAUGUACGAGGGACCAAUACCCCUUGUGCUUGACGGUACCACCAAAGGAAGCACCGGCUAACUCCGUGCCAGCAGCCGCGGUAAUACGGAGGGUGCAAACGUUGUUCGGAAUUACUGGGCGUAAAGCGCGCGUAGGCGGUUUGUUAAGUCAGAUGUGAAAGCCCAAGGCUCAA
rnacentral:rRNA from 1 species